UCAUAGCAAAAAUUUACCAGCCUAAGAAUUAUGGUUUAUCAUCCACGACAACUAUGACCUUUGUACAUCUCCUUGCUGCUCAUGAAGAUCCAUCCAAGAUAAUUAGAAAAAGUAGUGGAACCACUUGAACAAGAUAGCAUGCACCAAUAAGGUGCCAAUGAAAUGUGUUCCUGACAGGAAAGAAGUUACAAAUGUAAUUGAACCACUACUCUCUGAAAUGCCCUCUUAUAAAAAAAAAGUAAAUAAGUAAGUAGAUAGUGAAGGGAGUGGUGAGGAUGGUGGUGGUGAGGAGGGUAGAACAGGUGGUGGGAGGGAUGAGUGGCUAAGGUGGUGAAAAAGGGGGAGAUUUGUGGAGGAGGAACAAGUGAGGGAGAGUAAGAAGAGGGAGAUGGUGAAGAAUGGGGUAGAGGAGGGGGUUUUCAAGGAAGGGGAGAUUAUGGAGGGAGGGGAGAUAUGGAAGAAAAGAAGGUUAUGUAGAUUAGUGUGGAGCGGGUGAUGGUAGAUCCAGAAGGUAUUAAAAGCUACAAAAAGU
rnacentral:lncRNA from 1 species